UCUAAUAUGGCAGAUAAGUGCAGUAGAUUUAAGCUCUACAAAUAAAGAUUAAUCUUUUAUUAGAA
rnacentral:tRNA from 1 species